GUGCUUACUUUGCAGUAUACAUACUAAAAUUGGAGUGAUGCAGAGUAGAUUAGCAUGGCCCCUGUGCAAGUAUGACAUGCAUAUUCAUGAAGCAUUUCAUAUUUUU